rnacentral:rRNA from 1 species
UACAGAGGGUGCGAGCGUUUAAUCGGAAUUACUGGGCGUAAAGCGUGCGUAGACGGUUUCGUAAGUCGGGUGUGAAAUCCCCGGGCUCAACCUGGGAAUUGCAUUCGAAACUGCGAGGCUAGGGUACGGAAGAGGGAAGCGGAAUUUCUGGUGUAGCGGUGAAAUGCGUAGAUAUCAGAAGGAACAUCAGUGGCGAAAGCGGCUUCCUGGUCCAGUACCGACGUUCAGGCACGAAAGCGUGGGGAGCAAACAGG